AGGUUGAAACACCGGUUCUCGUACGAUCAGCAAAGAUAAGCAACAUUGAACCUGGUCAGUACCUAGAUGGGUGACAGCUUUGGAAUACUAAUUGCUGUAG